rnacentral:snoRNA from 1 species
AUGGUCUGUUAUGUUCUGUUCUAUAGAAUCACACUGCUGCAUCCUUUAUCAAGGCAAGCACUUAAAUCUGGUUGAUGCAUUCUGACCUCUGGGCCAGAGUGUGAUUAAUGGUUAUGAUACUCCUGAUGCGAGGAAUCCAACAGCUAUAGAGGACUGUUCCAUUGCAGCCUUGCAGGGUGACCCAGUGGUUGCCUGUCAGACU